UACGGGUGGGGCAAGCGUUGUUCGGAAUUACUGGGCGUAAAGGGCUCGUAGGCGGCCAACUAAGUCAGACGUGAAAUCCCUCGGCUUAACCGGGGAACUGCGUCUGAUACUGGAUGGCUUGAAUCCGGGAGAGGGAUGCGGAAUUCCAGGUGUAGCGGUGAAAUGCGUAGAUAUCUGGAGGAACACCGGUGGCGAAGGCGGCAUCCUGGACCGGCAUUGACGCUGAGGAGCGAAAGCCAGGGGAGCAAACGGG
rnacentral:rRNA from 1 species